GAAGGCGUAGAAGCUCAUUUUCUUGUUAUCUAUCUCUGAUUCUCUGUGAAAAUCGGAGUGAAUGUGAUGAUGAGCACAACCACAACCCAUAUAAUCGCCUGCCGGCCGACUAUCUGUGGUAGAAGUACAAGUGUGCCUCAGCAGAAGCAGCUUUUUGGGUUAAAGCCGUUUAAUUUGCCGAGGACCUCUUUGAACCUAAGCCUGUCGGCUCCUCCACCACACCGCCGACUUUGCAUUCCCGUUUUGAAGUUCAAGCAAUCUGCAACUGUUUGUUUAGCAAGGUCCGGAAGCGACAAUGAGGGUUCUCCAUGGAAAGCUUUUGGGGACGUAAUGGGAAAGUUUAAAAAGGAUUCCUCAAUAGAGGAUGUACUACGGCAGCAGAUUGAAAAGAAAGAAUACUAUCCAGAUAGAAGUGGCGGUGGUGGUGGUGGUGUUGGUGGUGGUGGCAGUGGAGGCAGUGGUGGAGGUGGUGGCGGUGCAGAUGGCUCUGGUGGAUCAGAAGAUGAAGGCCUGGCUGGGAUCGCUGAUGAAACUAUCCAAGUGAUUUUAGCGACCCUUGGCUUCAUUCUUCUGUAUAUAUACAUCAUCAGUGGCGAAGAGCUUACUCGUCUAGCUAAGGACUACAUCAAGUAUCUCUUUGGAGGAAGUGAGAGUGUUCGCUUAAAACGAGCCAUGUCCCACUGGAGAAGGUUGUUCAGGAGGCUGACUGAGAAGAAGGAGACUGAUAAAUAUUGGCUGGAAAAAGAAAUAAUCAAUACUCCAACUUGGUGGGAUAGCCCAGAAAAGUACCGUCGUAUCUCUAGGGCUUAUGAAGAGUCAAAUUCGGAUCAGUUUUAAGAGUCCUGUUAUAUUAUUCAUGCCUACAUUCUUUUAGAUUAACUUUUUAGCUAUUGUUUCUUGAAGAUGGUAUGAUUUUUAGUUGUAAUCUUAGUUAUCAAGGCUGUAAAAUUUUGUCAGGUUGGAAGAAAUAUAUUGCUUCAUGUUUUAAAAGCUGUUAGAAACCUUAUAGCGGCCAAACUUAUUGGGUUCAUAGCCAAUGUCAAAUUUUGCAUUCUGGACUAACAAUUAUAGGCUGUAAGAUUUAAGGACUUUGUAUCUGGUAGGGCUUUUGUACGAUGGGAAUUUUGAAAUAAACCACCAUUUAGUCCCAUGUAUUUGUUUUUAAAUGGGGUGGGAUAUUUA